GCAUAACGCGAAGAACCUUACCUGGCCUUGACAUUGAUAGGAUCUGCUAGAGAUAGCGGAGUGCCCUUCGGGGAGCUUGAAAACAGGUGCUGCACGGCUGUCGUCAGCUCGUGUCGUGAGAUGUUGGGUUAAGUCCCGCAACGAGCGCAACCCUCGUCACUAGUUACUAACGGUUCGGCCGAGGACUCUAGUGAGACUGCCUUCGUAAGGAGGAGGAAGGUGAGGACGACGUCAAGUCAUCAUGGCCCUUACGGCCAGGGCGACACACGUGCUACAAUGGGAUGUACGAUGAGACGCAAUACCGCGAGGUGGAGCAAAUCUAUAAAACAUCUCUCAGUUCGGAUUGUAGUCUGCAACUCGACUACAUGAAGCUGGAAUCACUAGUAAUCGUAGAUCAGCCAUGCUACGGUGAAUACGUUCCCCGGGUCUUGUACACACCG
rnacentral:rRNA from 1 species